CGAUUCCGGAGAGGGAGCCUGAGAAACGGCUACCACAUCUAAGGAAGGCAGCAGGCGCGCAAAUUAUCCAAUCCUAAUACAGGGAGGUAGUGACAAGAAAUAACAAUACAGGACCUUUCGGUUUUGUAAUUGGAAUGAGUUAAGUAUAAACCCCUUUACAAGUAUCAAUUGGAGGGCAAGUCUGGUGCCAGCAGCCGCGGUAAUUCCAGCUCCAAUAGCGUAUAUUAAAGUUGUUGCAGUUAAAAAGCUCGUAGUUGGAUUUCUGUUAAUUACUUUAUAUAAUCUGCACUUGUGUAGUUAUAUAGUAUUAACAUAAUUCAUAUUACUAUUUUUAGUAUAUGAAAUUUUACUUUGAGAAAAUUAGAGUGCUUAAAGCAGGCUUUUGCCUUGAAUACUUCAGCAUGGAAUAAUAAUUAAAGAUUUUUAUCUUUCUUUUAUUGGUUCUAAGAUAAAAAUAAUGAUUAAUAGGGACAGUUGGGGGCA
rnacentral:rRNA from 1 species